AUGCCGCAGAGAUCGGGCUCGGCUACGGAUGGAAGCAAGGGUGACAACCUUGAUAGGCUGAUGCAGGAGCUCGCCCUGAAGGAGGAUGACCUUGAUGAUGUAGUCUUUGAGGAAGACGACGCACCUCCGGAAGAAAACCUCGGGUGGAUGAUCUUGGCCCGUGUCCAUAUGGACAAGUCUUUCAGCACAUAUUGGUUUUUUCGUAACAUGAAGUCAGCCUGGGAUCUAGCAAGGGGAGUCAAGAUCAAAACCCUAGAAGACAAUCUAUUUAUCAUGCAAUUCAAUUGUCUAGGGGACUGGGAGAGGGUAACCCAGGGUGGACCGUGGCACUUCCGAGGGAAUCCAGUGAUCAUUGUCCCGUAUGAUGGCUACUCCAAGCCCACAUCCAUAGAGCUCUUUAAGUUUGAGAUAUGGGCAAGAAUCAUUGAUCUCCCAAUUGCAUACCAUGGAAAAGUGAAGGCGUUGGCUGCUAAGAUCGGCGAGUUUGUUGACUCAGAACCAUCUUCCUUCGACUUUGAAGGGAAUUUUUACAGGGUGAGAAUCUGUCUCGAUGUUCGCCACCAACUGAAGAAGGCAACCUCCAUAGUUCGUGGGGGUCAGAGGGAGAUCUUUGCGGUGAAAUACGAGAGGCUCCCGGUGGUGUCAGGUAUGCGGCAUGAUGGGGCAUGA
rnacentral:rRNA from 1 species